rnacentral:rRNA from 1 species
GACGGACGCUGGCGGCGUGCUUAACACAUGCAAGUCGAACGGAAAGGCCCUGCUUUUGUGGGGUGCUCGAGUGGCGAACGGGUGAGUAACACGUGAGUAACCUGCCCUUGACUUUGGGAUAACUUCAGGAAGCUGGGGCUAAUACCGGAUAGGAGCUCCUGCUGCAUGGUGGGGGUUGGAAAGUUUCGGCGGUUGGGGAUGGACUCGCGGCUUAUCAGCUUGUUGGUGGGGUAGUGGCUUACCAAGGCUUUGACGGGUAGCCGGCCUGAGAGGGUGACCGGCCACAUUGGGACUGAGAUACGGCCCAGACUCCUACGGGAGGCAGCAGUGGGGAAUAUUGCACAAUGGGCGGAAGCCUGAUGCAGCAACGCCGCGUGCGGGAUGACGGCCUUCGGGUUGUAAACCGCUUUCGCCUGUGACGAAGCGUGAGUGACGGUAAUGGGUAAAGAAGCACCGGCUAACUACGUG